GGCCACCAAAGAAAAUUGUGAAGUUGACAGGGGCCCGGAAGCUCGCCGACCUUCACGAAAGUGUGCGGAUGGUUGGGUUCGCGCACCUGAUGACAUGCAACGAUCUCCUAAUACAGCAUGCUGGAAGCUGCACAGGGGAGUUGGCAAGGGGGCACAAGGAAGCAAUGCCCCGUUGCUGUCCGUAGGGUGAACGCAAGGUGACUCGUGGCGGCCGCAAUUUCUACGCUGCGCUUUUCAUCUCUGAAGCCAUGCGCAGCAGCGUGCAGUCGUCAUGUUCAGAAAAGCAGUGCAAAGGUACCCGAAUAAGCUGUACAACAUUGCUGCAAGGUGCCUUGGUAAACCAGUACCCAGCCCUGAGGAACAGAUUGGACUCUGGCUAUAUGCAAAAGGCGUGAGCGCCAUCAUGGUUCUACCAUUUCUUGUCAAUGAGCGAGGGGACGACAUGUUCACAAAAAUG